GGCUGUGAUGAACAACUCGUGCUUUGCACGCUGGAAAUUACCGACUGAGAUCACAAGUCUUUGAAGUCAACAAAUGGCUAUUUCUGAGC
rfam:Glarea lozoyensis ATCC 20868 chromosome Tnknown GLAREA5, whole genome shotgun sequence.